CUUAGCUCCCAGGGUGCACAGCUGGACAUUUGGGGGUCUUCUGUCAGCAGGGACAGCGUGAAUGGGGGCAAUGGCAUCUCCAGGCCGCAUCCUGGCCCUCUGCAUGUGUCUCCUCACCAUGGCCAGUGCAGAAGGUCCACAGGAACCCGAUCCAUUCACCUACGAUUACCACACCCUGAGGAUC